rnacentral:rRNA from 1 species
GAUGAACGCUGGCGGCGUGCCUAAUACAUGCAAGUCGAGCGAACGGACGAGAAGCUUGCUUCUCUGAUGUUAGCGGCGGACGGGUGAGUAACAUGUGGAUAACCUACCUAUAAGACAGGGAUAACUUCGGGAAACCGGAGCUAAUACCGGAUAAUAUUUUGAACCGCAUGGUUCAAAAGUGAAAGACGGUCUUGCUGUCACUUAUAGAUGGAUCCUCGCUGCAUUAGCUAGUUGGUAAGGUAACGGCUUACCAAGGCAACGAUGCAUAGCCGACCUGAGAGGGUGGUCGGCCACACUGGAACUGAGACACGGUCCAGACUCCUACGGGAGGCAGCAGUAGGGAAUCUUCCGCGAUGGGCGAAAGCCUGACGGAGCAACGCCGCGUGAGUGAUGAAGGUCUUCGGAUCGUAAAACUCUGUUAUUAGUGAAGAACAUAUGUGUAAGUAACUGUGCACAUCUUGACGGUACCUGAACAGAAAGCCACGGCUAACUACGUG